UACGGCUACAUCACGUUAAAACACCGGUUCCGUUACGAUCGCCGAAGUUAAGCAACGUUGUGCCUGGUUAGUACGUAGAUGGGUGACCACUCGAGAAUACCAGGUGCUGUAAU